rnacentral:ncRNA from 22 species
GGAAACCGGUUUAAAUCCGGUACAGCCCCCGCUACUGUAAUAGCCGACGAAACCUUAUACAAUGUCACUGGGAAACCGGGAAGACUAAAGGGAUUAGAUUGACGCUUAAGUCAGGAUAC